UGGGGAAUAUUGGACAAUGGGCGAAAGCCUGAUCCAGCCAUGCCGCGUGUGUGAAGAAGGUCUUCGGAUUGUAAAGCACUUUAAGUUGGGAGGAAGGGCAUUAACCUAAUACGUUAGUGCUUUGACGUUACCGACAGAAUAAGCACCGGCUAACUCUGUGCCAGCAGCCGCGGUAAUACAGAGGGUGCAAGCGUUAAUCGGAAUUACUGGGCGUAAAGCGCGCGUAGGUGGUUUGUUAAGUUGAAUGUGAAAUCCCCGGGCUCAACCUGGGAACUGCAUCCAAAACUGGCAAGCUAGAGUAUGGUAGAGGGUAGUGGAAUUUCCUGUGUAGCGGUGAAAUGCGUAGAUAUAGGAAGGAACACCAGUGGCGAAGGCGACUACCUGGACUGAUACUGACACUGAGGUGCGAAAGCGUGGGGAGCAAACA
rnacentral:rRNA from 1 species